UAAUACGGAGGGUGCAAGCGUUAAUCGGAAUUACUGGGCGUAAAGCGCACGCAGGCGGUUUGUUAAGUCAGAUGUGAAAUCCCCGGGCUCAACCUGGGAACUGCAUUUGAAACUGGCAAGCUAGAGUCUCGUAGAGGGGGGUAGAAUUCCAGGUGUAGCGGUGAAAUGCGUAGAGAUCUGGAGGAAUACCGGUGGCGAAGGCGGCCCCCUGGACGAAGACUGACGCUCAGGUGCGAAAGCGUGGGGAGCAAACAGGAUUAGAUACCCUGGUAGUCCACGCUGUAAACGAUGUCGAUUUGGAGGUUGUGCCCUUGAGGCGUGGCUUCCGGAGCUAACGCGUUAAAUCGACCGCCUGGGGAGUACGGCCGCAAGGCUG
rnacentral:rRNA from 1 species